GCCGAUAUAGCUCAGUUGGCAGAGCAGCUGAUUCGUAAUCAGCAGGUCAUCGGUUCAAGUCCGAUUAUCGGCU
rnacentral:tRNA from 1 species